AGAAAGAGGGAAGGGGAGGCGCAGGGUAGAUAGAACAGGAGCAAAGGUGGCAGCUCCUCCAUACCCAUCCGCCCUUUACUGUACCCAGGUAUCCCAAAUAUUUAGGGGGUGGGGAUGGGGGAAGGGUGCAGACAACAGUUGAAGUUUCAUCACGAAGAAAUGUUUUGCCACUUCCCGACAGAGAAAACAGAAACCUGCCCCGAAUAACCGGAACGUAGAUCAAGACACUGAGGCCUGGCAGUGCAGCUGGCUCUUUGUUAAAAACUCACUUAACAUGAAAGUGCUGCUGCAGAUGUUCCUGCCCAAAGCCCAACAACAGAGACAUCACAAAUGCAGCCAGAUUCAUCUUCUCCAACAAUGAUUGAAUCCAGCUUCUCCUCUAGCGCAGACACCACCCCUACACGAUUCACCAUCCUUAUCCUGCUCCUGGGCUUAUCGAAGGGCCUCAUUUUCCUGUGCAUAGUUUGUGCUGCCACCUGGGGGAGCGUGCGGGACCGGAAGAGCCACAGGGAGAUGGUGUCCAGACGGACACGCUCAUGAUCUGCCUCUUUGCAAGCAGAACCAGAAGUAGCAGAAGAAGGCUGGUUUCCAGCUUUGGGUAAAGCAUCCUACACAAAGAACCUCAUUUUCUUCUUGUCUCAAGUGAAGCUAUUUCCCCCAGAGGCUGAAGUCUGCUGGAGGUGUCCGUCUCUGUGUUUCCCAGACCAGGGUAGCUAGGUUUGUAUCACUUGAGGAUCAAAGAGAAAAGCCCCCAGGAAGGACAAUUUGGCCAGGGAGACAAAAGUUCUUUUGAGAAAAACAAGUGAAAAAGCUCUUUUCCUACGAGGAAAGGAUUGGAGAGCCUAGGGCCAAAUCCAUGCCUGAUGCAAGCGAACGUAACUCCACCAAGACUACCUCUAUAGUACAACGUUUUACCGACAAACUGCCAACAAACCAAUGAGACUGCACACCCUGCUAGGUGAGAUUGUCAGGCAAAUUGCCCAUUUCAGUGACAACUUCCACCCUGUGAGAGAGUUUUCUCUUCCCUUAAUCAUGGACAAAGAGCCAGAGUGGAUCCUGCUGUCUGGUUUAUUGCCACAAUUGUCUUCCACCAGUAUCCCACAAUGCCUGCCCUGCUUGCUGUGCUCAGAGUCUGGAGCUCUGCUGCCCAACGGGUGAGCUCCCCUCCCCUUUCAGAGCUCUGGGACGUACCUGACAGCUGAGUGAGCUACUCGUUGGACUGCUCCUGUUCUGCCCUGCACUAGAAACACAGCGGCUGGCAGACUGCUGCUGCACGGGGAAGGGCACAUGCGGCUGUGCUGCUUUGACAUUCCUCAGCUGGGAGAGCUCAGGGCUAUUCCUGAGGCUGCUGCCAUGAAAUGAGGAGUCCAUGGGAGAACUCAGAGGGAAUCCCAAGAUGUGCGGAGAUCAGCUCUGCUGUCCCACCACACUGCACCAAGUGCUGUAAGUUUUGUCAACAGAAAUUGGUAGCGGAGAUGUAGACACAGUCAGUGACCCAAACCACAGGGUCAGAGCCAGCAGUGACAGAGGCUGCCCUGAAUCAACUGGACUCUUCAUAGUCAUAGGCCUUGUCUAUCCUCCCCUCAGCCCACUAUCAAGCUACUUCAGUUGUCCUCGUUCAUGGGCGCACACUCAGGGUAUGUCUACACUACCCCGCUAGUUCAA